UACGAAGGGGGCUAGCGUUGUUCGGAAUACUGGGCGUAAAGCGCGCGCAGGCGGUUCUACAAGUCAGUGGUGAAAGCCCGGAGCUCAACUCCGGAACUGCCAUUGAAACUGCAGAACUUGAGGAUGAGAGAGGUGAGUGGAAUUCCCAGUGUAGAGGUGAAAAUUCGUAGAUAUUGGGAAGAACACCGGUGGCGAAGGCGGCUCACUGGCUCAUUUCUGACGCUCAGGCGCGACAGCG
rnacentral:rRNA from 1 species